CCUCAUUUAAAGGACAGAGCGAGGAGAUGCUCCUACAUUUCGGUACAUGUGGGUCAACUAGUAAAGGGAGACAAGUCAGGCUGGAGCAGGAUUGACAACAACUUUUCAAGGCGCACUAUCGAAGAAGAAGAAGACGACGACCAGGGAACUAUUGGAGCGCACGUGAAGAGGGAGGCAAGGACAUGUGAGCGAUGUGGUGGCUUUGCGGCCCCGGCCACGGGAAGACGGCCCGUGGGAAAUAAGGUCGUCCCCGAACGAGCGAGGCGAGGAAGUCGAGGGGAGCGCCCUCGUGGGAAAAGCAACACUCCGCGCCGGACUCCG